UCUUACAGAUGAGCAAAGAAAGUGGUUUCUUGAGAUGGAAUCUACUCCUGGUGAGGAUAUUGGGAA
rnacentral:pre_miRNA from 1 species